CGAAGUUGGCUGGGAUGGACUCCAGCCCCCCCGCGACCCUGUGUGCAGGAUAAACGGUUUGACAAUGGAUGGAUGGAUCAAUAUCAUAAAUAGCGUUAUUAUCGACAUUGCAGACAAUUUUAAGUGAUUUAUUACCUUGUUUGUGUGUGGUUUUGAAUGUUUUUUUUUAAACAUAAAUAGCUCGUAAAUCAAAAUCCUCAGUUUUGAACAUGCUGCGCGGUGGUCUUGAGUUUGGCUCCCAGCCACAACUCAUGCUGCCGAUUGAUAAACUAUAAGGAAAAGUUGUAUUAUUGGGGAGGAGGAGCUAGCUUCAGGCACCUCCAACUCACUUCUGAGGGGUCCCGGGAUGAUGAGGAAAGAACAAAGAAAUGAAAUUCACCAACACUGACUUUAUUUAAUAUCUGGACUCUGAACAGAAUAUUUGAUUUGUUUAAUUUUAUAUGUCAUUCUAUAUGAUUAAUGAACUAUGAAGACUAGUGGAUUGAAACUACAAUCCUCUCCUAAUCGUGAUAAAGUCUUGAGAACCUUGAAGUUGUACUUAAGUACAGUAAUUGAGUACAUUUACUUUUACAAUCUUACUUUUCAAAAGUUUGGAAUUAAGGUUCUUAAAAGUUAAGACAGAGUGUACCAGUAACAAAAACAAGCAAAAGAUUCCAAACAACAAGCAGUUUGAGUGAAAAUGUCUGCACCCGAAAUAAGAAAUACACAGAAAUCCCAAAAUGAACACAUACUUUUAUAGCAGCAAGGCAGCUAUACAUCUAUUUGGGUUCCUGUGGUAUAAAGCAAAUAAACUGGCAUGAGGAAGCCGAGCUGAGUGGAGGAGCUAAACCAUAAGGCAGCUUUGGGGUUGUCUCACCUCUCCUUCCUUCGCUCCUGCAUCCUGAGCAAAUGGAUGGGGGCAAACUUUCCCUUCAACGCACCUUCCUCCUCACUGAGACAGCAGCUAAUCGGGAUCCUUGUCAUCAAGUCUGAGCCCCCGGCGACUCGCUGUGACACCUGAUGGGCUGACUGAAUGUUUGGUCCUGACACCUUACGGCAUCAUCUGAUAUAAUUGGGAGCGCCAUUGGAUGUUUCACCCAGGUUUAAAAAAAACAAUAAUACCAGGCCACGAGUUAUUCUCUGAAUCGCUGUGUGUGUGUGUGUGUGUGUGUGUGUGUGUGUGUGUGUGUGUGUGUGUGUGUGUGUGAGAGUUUGCCUUUCUAGAAACGUUGUAGCCCUGUUUGGGAGUGUAAACGUUUAUUGGGCAUUCAUUAUUGUUAUUGUCGGCAUCCCCUAAUUUUGCUCAUUAUUUCUAUUGACUUGAGGGGGGGGCACGGGGCCAAAUGCUGGGAUGAUUAUGGAGUAGAGACCGUGGCAGUUUAAUACGAGCCAUGAUACUGAUGGACAGUUAAUUAGAGGUUUGAACAGCUUUUCUAACAGCAUCCAAAUUGAGGAGCCAAAAGAUGCAAGGGGAGGACAGCUGAGACAGACGCACAAGUCCUUUAAACGAUAUAUUCAUGAGCAUCACAAUAGCCUGCGCAUACAGACAUACACCCACUAAUAGGCUCCAUUCAAUGGGUGCGCGCACUUUCUCGUCUUGCCAGAGACAUUUCAAUCGAGUCGAGGCGACCUAAUAACGAGUAGGAGCAAACACCGUAAACGCAAAACAACGAGCUGCCUGUUAGAAGAACCAUUCCAUACAUCCUGUACGCGGAGGACUUGCGCUGGUUGGAGUCAAGCCGGGUUGCUUUCGUAUGAAAGUAAAUGUGUCCGUUAGUAAGUUUUACGUAAGCUCCCGCGGUCUACUGCGCAUGCGUGGCGACCCGCCGUGAUUUGUAUACCAGCGGCAGGCUGACGCGACCUGCCGGCGCUGCCUUGGCGAUCGACCUGUCGCCCCCCCCCCCCCCGCUGUGUCCCGUUCAAUUACCAGCAUCGCCGGAGCUCUGGUGCAGAACGCUGCCGCCACAAAGACGAAGGAACACAGCCGGCUGGCUGACAUUCUACUCUGUCUGGACCAACGUUGCUUCCCAAGUGGAGCUGCAGACACACAUGAAGGAGAGGACCUGAUUUGAAGGAGAUACUGACGGUGGCGCACAGCUGCACCAGUGCCCGCCACCCCCCCCCCCGCCCCCACCCCACACCGUCUCUCUCUUCGUCACACUGUGUGUUUGACCUUCUCUCCGUCGCACUCUCUCUGCCUCUCGGAGGGGUGGGGGUGCCAUAUGGGAGCUGAGAGAAAUGGACCUGGGAUAGGCAAGAGGGGAAUGUGUCACUCUCAGGCUCGGAUGUCGGGGUCUACUUGGAUCGGAGAAGAACUCCGAAUCGACCCAAACUCCACUCCCUCCUCGGCAGCAAGCCUCUUCCAUGAAGGAUUACAGUAAGUGCUGUGAGAGGUGGAAGAGGGAGGCGGGGGUGGGUGGAGGGGGAUGUAAAACGGACAGUGGAGCGGCGCUGAGACCCGCGUUUAUCUUGGCGCGCGGGGCCCCCAGAGCGGGAGUUUAGAAAGAGCCGAAGAUUGAGAAGCAGCGAGACCGGUCCGGAGGUGAAUGCCGAAUGGAACAACCCCCCGCCCCCCUCUCCCGGUGUCUUAUCUCCGGUCUCCCUCUCAUCUGUGAUUCACUCCGGGGCGUUGCCAGGGAAACCUGGUAUCUGGCCAGCAGCUUGAGGAGGUUAUUGAUAACUGUGCUGUGUCUAGCAGGCUGGGACUUGAAUGUGACCCGCGGCUGGCCUCGGAGACGCGCCGUUAACCCCUCGGCGGCUGUGACCUUAUGGGACGUGCCUAAUCAGAGUUCCACCUCCACGCUCUCCGUGACUCUUUGGUGACGCCGCAUUAGUGCCGCGGGCGGUUGUUUUGGACGACUUCCAAUUAGAAAGGAAGGGAAACGUCUCGCUUGUACUGUAGCACGUGUCCGGCUAGCCCGGUCCAAUCCCGCUGCUUUUUCUUUGUGUCCCUCAAACGCGACCUUGACCAAAAAUUCCCAGUGUGUCCUUGAGUGCAUCCGCUCAGUCCCCGAGGCCACGUGGAUAAUCACUGUGCUCUUUGUAGGGCCGGUCCUUGAUAAUCCGCCACUGAAAGAUUGAACGUUUCAGACAAAUCCUGCUACAUUGGUUUCUAGGGGGCUUCCGGUGGGCUUAAUAAAUAUAAAUAUAUAAAGAUAAAUGUCUGUAUCUCUAUCUGAGGUAAGACAAAUCCCUUCUCCAGGUGGGGACCCUUCCUUUCAUGGCCUUCUUCUGCGCAGGCCUUCAGUCAGCUGACAGAGUGUGAGGGGGGGGGGCAGUGCUGUGGCUUUUGCCUGCGCUUCUCACAGUAGCGCAGUGAGUCAGUGAAAGUGUCAGAGCGGCGUAACGCGCUGCCUGCGCCAGCUAAUUAGCCUUCACGCCGUCAGGGGGCCGCUGCGCUCUGCCCAGGUGCCCACUGCACAGAGCCCAGACGACCUUUACACUCGGCGCCGGCCCAAUGCAGUCACUUAAAACGCUGAUGGAUGUCAGCGGGCCGCUCCCUACCAGGCCGCCUCCUCCUUUCUCUCUCUCUCUCUCUCCCCCCCUCCCUCCCCCUCUCUCCCUUCUCCUCCCGUUCUACUGCUCUUCUCCCCUGUUCACUCUCUGCUCUUCAGGAAUGAUGAGGAGGAAGAGUAAGAGGAAAGGGGGGGAAGAGCAAAGUCAAUCUCCCUCCCAAGACACACGCACGCACACACACACACACACACACACACACACACACACACACACCUCGGCUCCUCAUUAGUAUGCAGCGGCGGUUGCACAGGGGACAAGCAUCAGCAGCGUGGAGGGGAACCGGAUAGCAGGUAAGGACAAUAAGAAGGGGAAGAAAUACGUAGGCAGACAGGGAGGGAGGGUUGAAUUAUUGUAAGGACACACACACACACACACACUGCCUUAUAUAUUUGUAAAAUAUAAUAGUCUGGGUUUCCAAAAGGCAUCAAUUGACAAAUAUUUGUUUCUUGUAUUUUACAUCCAAAGUGAAAAUGUAUUAAUUAUUGGAAUAACAACUUUUUGUUUGUAAAUCAUGGAAUUUCAAUAAAUGUUCCAGAAGAAUA